CCUACGGGUGGCAGCAGUGAGGAAUAUUGGUCAAUGGGCGGAAGCCUGAACCAGCCAAGUCGCGUGAGGGAAUAAGGCCCUACGGGUCGUAAACCUCUUUUGCCGGGGAGCAAGGGCGGGGACGUGUCCCGGCCCGGAGAGUACCCGGAGAAAAAGCAUCGGCUAACUCCGUGCCAGCAGCCGCGGUAAUACGGAGGAUGCGAGCGUUAUCCGGAUUUAUUGGGUUUAAAGGGAGCGUAGGUGGAUUGUUAAGUCAGUUGUGAAAGUUUGCGGCUCAACCGUAAAAUUGCAGUUGAAACUGGCAGUCUUGAGUACAGUAGAGGUGGGCGGAAUAAGUUAAGUAGCGGUGAAAUGCUUAGAUAUAACUUAGAACUCCGAUAGCGAAGGCAGCUUACCAGACUGCGACUGACGCUGAAGCACGAGAGCGUGGGUAGCGAACAGGAUUAGAUACCCCGGUAGUC
rnacentral:rRNA from 1 species